UUUGAAGAUCCUGAGUCUAGGUUUGCUGAGAUGGUGAGAACGUUGUCUUUAUAUGUGUUUGUACUUGGUGUAAAUGUUACAGCAAAUGUUUUUGUGCAGAACAUCAUCUUUUUUGCUCCUGUGUUUGUAGGGAUUGCCAGUUGCAAUGUGAUCACACCGCCUAUUAGGAGAUGCCAGUCAGUCCAGUAGUGCAUCAUGUCUGCUGGACUGACUGGUGCUAUGUGUACAGAUGAUCCGGACUGGCAACAGGAAACUUUCAGAACUGACACUGAGUGACAAGAGAGUGAUGCUGUGUUUUCUGGAACGCAUCUCUCCAAAUUUGGAGGAGGCUACGUAUGAAGAUCCCGAGUCUAGGUUUGCUGAGAUGGUGAGAACGUUGUCUUUAUAUGUGUUUGUACUUGGUGUAAAAGUUACAGCAAAUGUUUUUGUGCAGAACAUCAUCUUUUUGCCCCUGUGUUUGUAGGGAUUGCCAGUUGCAAUGUGAUCACACCGCCUAUUAGGAGAUGCCAGUCAGUCCAGUAGUGCAUCAUGUCUGCUGGACUGACUGGUGGUGUAAGUAUAUUUUCCUGUCAAUCUUCCAUAUUUGACUACUUUUAGUAUUGAAGUAUUCUUUGUGUAGAUGAGAAAAACAAAUACAGUCCAUUUGAUUUUACAUGUCUGUCUUUUCUCCCUCUGUUUAUCUGUAUGUGUGUGUCUGGUGGAGUCCCACUACACAGAUGUGUACAAAUGACCCUGAAAGGCAAAAGUAAACUUUCAGAACUGACACUGAGUGAAAAGGUAACACAGUAUAGCAAUAAGAACACCACAACAUGUUCAAUAUUCAACAUGUAAAGACAUGCGUCUGUUUCCUUAUCAAAUAACACUGCUUACUGUUUCUCAGACACAGUCUCAGUCUGUAAGUCUAGGCUGAAAACCUACAUGUUUAGUCAAACCUUUGAUAAUUUGGUGAAUUUGCUUUGAGAGGUUUUGUUUGCCUCCUUUAACAAGCGUUUAUAACUCUGUCUCCCAGAGAGCGAUGCUGUGUUUUCUGGAAAGCAUCUCUCCAAAUUUGGAGGAGGCUACUUAUGAAGAUCCUGAGUCUAGGUUUGCUGAGAUGGUGAGAACGUUGUCUUUAUAUGUGUUUGUACUUGGUGUAAAUGUUACAGCAAAUGUUUUUGUGCAGAACAUCAUCUUUUUUGCUCCUGUGUUUGUAGGGAUUGCCAGUUGCAAUGUGAUCACACCGCCUAUUAGGAGAUGCCAGUCAGUCCAGUAGUGCAUCAUGUCUGCUGGACUGACUGGUGCUGUAAGUAUAUUUUCCUGUCAAUCUUCCAUAUUUGACUACUUUUAGUAUUGAAGUAUUCUUUGUGUAGAUGAGAAAAACAAAUACAGUCCAUUUGAUUUUACAUGUCUGUCUUUUCUCCCUCUGUUUAUCUGUAUGUGUGUGUCUGGUCCCACUACACAGAUGUGUACAGAUGAUCCGGACUGGCAACAGGAAACUUUCAGAACUGACACUGAGUGACAAGGUAACACAGUAUAGCAAUAGCAACGCCAGCACAUGUUCAGUACUCAAAAUGUAAAGACAUGCACCUAUUUCCUUAUCAAGUAACACUUCUUACUGUUUCUCAGACACAGUCUCAGUCUUUAUGUCUAGGCUAAAAACCUACAUGUUUAGUCAAACCUUUGAUUAUUUGGUGAAUUUGCUUUGAGAGGUUUUGUUUGCCUCCUUUGACAAGCGUCUGUAACUCUGUCUCCCAGAGAGUGAUGCUGUGUUUUCUGGAACGCAUCUCUCCAAAUUUGGAGGAGGCUACGUAUGAAGAUCCUGAGACUUUGUUUGCUGAGAUGGUGAGAACAUUGUCUUUAUAUGUGUUUGUACUUGGUGUAAAAGUUACAGCAAAUGUUUUUGUGCAGAACAUCAUCUUUUUUGCUCCUGUGUUUGUAGGGAUUGCCAGUUGCAAUGUGAUCACACCGCCUAUUAGGAGAUGCCAGUCAGUCCAGUAGUGCAUCAUGUCUGCUGGACUGACUGGUGCUGUAAGUAUAUUUUCCUGUCAAUCUUCCAUAUUUGACUACUUUUAGUAUUAAAGUAUUCUUUGUGUAGAUGAGAAAAACAAAUACAGUCCAUUUGAUUUUACAUGACUGUCUUUUCUCCCUCUGUUUAUCUGUAUGUGUGUGUCUGAUGGAG